rnacentral:rRNA from 1 species
AGUGAACGCUGGCGGUAGGCCUAACACAUGCAAGUCGAACGGCAGCACAGUAAGAGCUUGCUCUUACGGGUGGCGAGUGGCGGACGGGUGAGGUAUACAUCGGAAUCUACUUUUUCGUGGGGGAUAACGUAGGGAAACGUACGCUAAUACAGCAUACGACCUACGGGUGAAAGCAGGGGAUCGUCGGACCUUGCGCGAUUGAAUGAGCCGAUGUCGGAUUAGCUAGUUGGCGGGGUAAAGGCCCACCAAGGCGACGAUCCGUAGCUGGUCUGAGAGGAUGAUCAGCCACACUGGAACUGAGACACGGUCCAGACUCCUACGGUAGGCAGCAGUCGGGAAUAUUGGGCAAUGGGCGCAAGCCUGAUCCAGCCAUACCGCGUGGGUGAAGAAGGCCUUCGGGUUGUAAAGCCCUUUUGUUGGGAGAGAAAAGCAGCAGGUUAAUACCCCGCUGUUCUGACGGUACCCAAAGAAUAAGCACCGGCUAACUUCGUG